UCGAAACCUGCCCAGCAGAACGACUUGCGAACAUGUUAUAAAUUCUGUGGGGACGGGUUGCUGGUUCUCCGGUCCUUCCCCACUGCUGUGGGUGCAACCCUUUGGGUUUGCUCUCUGGCACAACAACGAAACCCCGGCGCGUAUGCGCCAAGGAACAUUAACACGAGUGUGCCUAUCGUUGCAUCGGGCUUCCGGUGCAAAGGUGCGGUACCCAAUCUAAGUCAUGAAACGACUCUCGGCAACGGAUAUCUCGGCUCUCGCAUCGAUGAAGAACGUAGCGAAAUGCGAUACUUGGUGUGAAUUGCAGAAUCCCGUGAACCAUCGAGUUUUUGAACGCAAGUUGCGCCCGAAGCCUUCUGGCCAGGGCACGUCUGCCUGGGCGUCACGCAUAGCGUCUCCCCCAACCCACAUAGUGUGGGAGGGAGAGGAGGAUGGCCUCCCAUGCCUCACCGGGCAUGGAUGGCCUAAAUAAGGAGCCCUGGGACACGGAAAGUCACAGCGAUUGGUGGUCUACAAGGCAUUUGCCUCGAAAGCAUCGCGUUGGACUUGAUGUAUCCUACAUUGGCUUGAAAGACCCUUUAAAACCUUUGCGACCCCAGGUCAGGCGGGGUUACCCG
rnacentral:rRNA from 1 species